rnacentral:rRNA from 1 species
CGCAGCCGCGGUAAUUCCAGCUCCAAUAGCGUAUAUUAAAGUUGUUGCAGUUAAAAAGCUCGUAGUUGAAUUUCGGAACCUGUCCAUCGGUCGGGCUUCACUGUCCGUACUGGUGUGGUGGGUUCUUACCUUCUGAAUAACCAGCAUGCCAUUAAUUUGGUGCGUUGGGGAAGCAGGACUAUUACCUUGAAAAAAUUAGAGUGCUCAAAGCAGGCCAGUGCCUGAAUACAUUAGCAUGGAAUAAUAAAAUAGGACGGCAUGGUUCUAUUUUGUUGGUUUCUAGGAUCACCGUAAUGAUUAAUAGGGAUAGUUGGGGGCAUUAGUAUUCAGUUGUCAGAGGUGAAAUUCUUGGAUUUAUUGAAGACUAACUACUGCGAAAGCAUUUGCCAAGGAUGUUUUCAUUAAUCAAGAACGAAAGUUAGGGAUCGAAGACGAUCAGAUACCGUCGUAGUCUUAACCAUAAACUAUAGCCGACUAGGGAUCGGAUGAUGUUAAUUUUUAUGUACUCAUUCGGCGUACC